CUAUAUGCCAUGGCACAUGAGAGCCAGACCAGUCCCAAGAUGAAGAUGGUGCAGAAAGGAGCCGCAGGCACUUUUCGACACAAAAGGUUGGGGCUCUGUGCCCGUUUCUGUCCAAAGAAGAUUUGUGACUACUUCAUAAGUAGGUUUGCACUAGAACACACUUUGUACUACAACUCUGCCCAGUAUUGUGAUCCGCAACUAGUUCAUUCCGGAGAUAAGAAUAUCCUCAGGCAAUAAACGAGAUGGGGUUAUUUCUUAAAGAGCCCAAGGCUCUGGCAGCAGGCUUGAACUCAGCGUUGUUUACAAUUACAUGGAAAUCUGCGGGCUAAUGGAGAGGUGGGUGCCUCCUCCUGCCCGCAGGGUGCUCCCAGCAGCCUCUUGCACUCCAUGGCCAAUAUCUCGCAUUUUUCCCAUUGAAUUUUCCCAACUAAACUCCCUCUGCAAGUUUUAGCAUUGUGAUAGCCCAGCUUAUUUGUCUGCUGCAGGGUCUGGAGUGAAAGCACCAGUGCUGUAAAAUGUGCUCAGCCCUUUCAGAGGCUCUGGUUUUCCAGUGUCACAUAGGCACCAUAUCAGGCUUUUUAGGCCAGAGGCAGGUUUCCAAGGAGACAGUGUUACUGGCCACAUUUCUCCUUUGCAGCAGCACCAGCAGCAGAGAAAGAAGUAGGUGUUAAAGUACCAGAAUUAAAUGAGUUUCAUGAAGACAGAAAGAUGCAGCAGAGACUCAUUUUACUGUGGAGGAUGCUAUGAGGUCAGCUUGCUCUGCACUGCAGGUGGGAAGGAGAGGGAAGGAGAGAUGUUGUUUGUUGGCAUAGUUUGAAAAUUGUUACCCAGGUGUUUUAAACCCAGCUCACAGUGAGAUGCAAUCUGACAAUUACUUAAGUAGAUACAUACAUAUAAAUAUAUAGAUAUUAUAUUCCGAUAUUUGUUGUGGUUCCCAGGGUGGGAGAGUCAGUGUGGUCUCACAUCACCACCUUUUUGUGCAACUUACGCCUGUAAAGCACUGCCAUAGCAACUUCUGUGUACUGGGCAGCUAUUUGAGUACAAGCUAUGCAUCCGGAGAGCUAUUUGAGUACCAGCUAUGCAUCCACCUCUGCAACCAAGGAACCGCGUUGCGAGGUCUGUAACGUAGCUGGCCUGUGACCUGGCAGGAGGGUGCUGUUUCCCAGCAGCAGCUGAAAAGCAAACACUCACAGACCCAUUUACUUCUGCAAGUGUAGCUGGUAAACAACCAGCAGCCCAUCACAUUUGUUGCCAUCGCUUCACCUUGGUGAUAAUCGGACUUGCCACAGCAGUCAUCCUGCUAGGAGAGGCACAGACAUGCACAAAUACUUUGAGUGCAUCAGCCUGUUGGAUGUUGGCAGGGUGGUCCCGUGGUUUUUGUGUGUAUUAACAGGCAUUACUGGCUUUGGAAUUGCAAUCCUAAGAGCCUCUGCCUCAGGCGUGGCAAGGAAGACUCACACGAGUAAAUGCCAUCAGCAUCAAUAGGAAUAACAUGGGUAAGGUACCCUUUUACCGGCACAGCACAUCACAGCCCCUGCAUCACUUGCAGACAAAGUAUUUUGGAUCCAUACUGUACUCAACCCCAAGAUUUGCUGUGUGCUUCCCAGAGGAUACAAAGUACCUCUUGGCUGGAGAGGUUUUACACUGGCCUAAACUGCUCUGUACAGUGCAAGAGAGUGGUUGUUGCAGACUUGCAUGUGUUUCAGGGCAAAUCCUCUAGCUACAUUUGUUAUUAGUGCUCCCCAAAACAGAGGCUUUCCCAAGCUUACAUGCUACCUCUGUUAUUUGGCACGGAUUUUGGUCAUACUUACAGAAAAACAAGGACAACUACUUGGGACAAGCCUAUGCAUUGUAGUAUUUGUUUAAACAGGAACACUAAUAAAUCUAAAGACCUACUUCCUUGAACUCAGUGGGUAAUACUUCUUUGUAUAGCAGGGAGCCUGGCAUGCUUAACGCUCAGGGUUUGAGACUUAGAACGCAAGAUUUACAUCCUAUCGCUCAUAUGAUUAUUACCAAUGAUUGUAAGUAAUGGAAGCGAGGGGAACAAUAAGUGAAAAACCAGUUCUGCAAGUUUUAGCACUGACUUGAGUCCAACAGUUUUCUCAGUUUAGAAAGAGAAAAAAAGGCAUCGUUGCCUUAAGGAUGCUGGUUUACACCCAGGAUCCUCUUGUUCCACUGAAAGGCUAUUUUCUUUUUUGUGCACACGAAAGAAAAGUAAUUACUUUCUAUUCUCCUGUGGUGCAGUAGAGGAGUAGUGUUUGCUGUUGCCUUUGACCAACAAGAAGGUUUGUCUAUUGUAACCAAAAUGGCUCUGCCUCCAGGGUACAGAAAGAGAAGCCUACGAGGCCAGGGAGCAACUCCUCUCCCUGCCUUACCCUAUAUAAACUGUCAUUAGCUCCACUGGAGCUGUUGGUAGUGUGAGCAUUUCCUCCAGCUGAGGAUCUGCCCACCAGUGUACUCGUUCUGUACAGGGAGUCCAACGGAGCUGCCAUAUUCUGCACUGCACAAGUACCCCGGUCCGUUUCUAUGGGAAACAGUUCAUGCUACUGAAUAUCACAAUGCUUCAGAAGUGCUAAUUAUCUUUUCUUGGUAAUGACUAAUAAAUCCAAAUGGAGAACAGUCCUGGAGGGUGUUUACUUUAAAAUUCACUGGCUGGGUACCAAAGUAGGCACAGCACUGACUGCUGCAGUUAGAAUUACAGUUAUUUUAUCCCCCAAAAAUGUUCCAUUUUUGGAGAGUUUUGGUGAAGACAGACUUUGGCUAGUUUAUAUUUCACUUUAAUGACAGUAGAGUGGGAAACGGCUCUUUUUAGUGAAAAGACACCACUGCUAUGAUCUUUUUUCAGCCAGACCAACAGAGAUUUGAUAGUUACAGUUCAGCCUAGGAGAGCAAGGCUUGCCAGAGCCACCGCGCUGCAGCGGUAACUGCCUCUGACCGAAUUGUAUUACAGGCAUAUUUGACAGUUGUGCAAGGAGCAUGUGCAGCUGAGAUGAUGCUUCUCUGUGUGGCUAAGGAGAGCUGCUUUAUGCCCAAAGGGACAACUGCAGUGCCCGUCUGGGUACCCACCAGCAUCCCCUCACUCGAGCUGGCUUAACCAGCCCCUGCCUGUUCCUAGGCCUGACUCCGGGUGAUGGUCUCCCUGCUGUGAAGCUGUGGUUCAGUGCUAAAGGUUAUCAGUGUAUGGCCAGCUAGAGAGCUGUUCUGUUAGAAGUGAGAAGCUGAAACACCCAUUGGUUUGGUGAUGUUGGCAGGAGGAAGAAUCACUGACCCAGCAGCUGCCAGGAUGAUGGUUCCUCCAACUUUGCCUUCCAUGACCUGGCUUACGCCUUCAGCUCCAGCAAACCAAGGCAGGUUCCCAAGGCACUGGAUGCUAAAAGGUCCAGCUCAUUUCAUAGAAUCAUAGAAUACCAGUCUGGAG